rnacentral:rRNA from 1 species
AUUGAACGCUUGCGGCAUGCCUUACACAUGCAAGUCGAACGGCAGCGCGGGAGCAAUCCUGGCGGCGAGUGGCGAACGGGUGAGUAAUAUAUCGGAACGUGCCCAGUAGUGGGGGAUAGCCCGGCGAAAGCCGGAUUAAUACCGCAUACGACCGGAGGGUGAAAGCGGGGGAUCGCAAGACCCCGCGCUAUUGGAGCGGCCGAUAUCAGAUUAGCUUGUUGGUGGGGUAAAAGCCUACCAAGGCGACGAUCUGUAGCUGGUCUGAGAGGACGACCAGCCACACUGGGACUGAGACACGGCCCAGACUCCUACGGGAGGCAGCAGUGGGGAAUUUUGGACAAUGGGCGCAAGCCUGAUCCAGCCAUGCCGCGUGCGGGAAGAAGGCCUUCGGGUUGUAAACCGCUUUUGUCAGGGAAGAAACGGCUCUUGAUAAUACCGAGAGCUAAUGACGGUACCUGAAGAAUAAGCACCGGCUAACUACGUGCCAGCCGCCGCAGUAACAC